AUGUACAAUAGCUGCCAACAGCCACCUCCUUGGUAGUGUUUGCAGCCUGUUGUCUGUAUGGGGGGGUUCUAAAACAUCUUGAAGAUAGGA
rnacentral:snoRNA from 1 species